UGUAACCCUUGGGUUGAGGAAUCUUUUCUUUUUAACUUUUCCUUGUGAACAGAGUCGUUCCUCUUUUCCUCAUCACUUUUCAAUCUCUCUCUCCUCAGUCUUUACCUCAGAUUUUGAUCAGUUUUGCAAUUUGGUUCUUCUGUCUCCUCAAGCUACGUGACUUCUCUAAUGGAUGCGGCUUCUGACCUCGGUUCUUCCGCCGUCGAUCGUAGUUUUCCAGCGAACUCUUACUUUGACCUCAGUAAUCGAGCUCAGCAUUCUGUUUCUCCCUCCUGUAAGAUGACGAGACUUCUUUAAUGGAAGAAAGGCAUAAAUUGAAGAAAAUGAAGAGAAAUGAAUCAUAAUUUUUGACCUCAGAGAAGGUCGGCCAUGGCGGUUAUCACUAGCUCCUGCGACGCUAGUUGGGAUCGGCGACCUCCUAGCACCGGUGAAAGCCCUGCUUCUCUAUUUCCUUCAUUUAUCCUCAAAAAAAUCAUUAAUCAAGGUGGUUCUUCUUCUCCAAAUUUCUGCUGUAAUCUUUGUUCAGUCUCGUUACUUAUGCCCCCCUUUUUUUGUCAUUAUGAAAUUGUAUUUCAAUUGACCAAAUAUCCUUUUUUUUCCCGUUUUUGCUUUGUUGGUGAUCUUAUUGUUUGUGGAGUGUUCUUUGAUACCGUAUUAGGGUUAGAUCUACUUAAUUUUGCUGUAGUUUUUUGUUUGCCAAAUCAUCAGAGAAGCAGAAAGGUUAAGAAUUGUUUUCUUGAAUGAUUUAGCAAAUUAUGGCUAUGGGGUUUGUAAUUUUUUUUUUUUUUUUUUUUUUUUUUUUUUUUUUUGAAGAAACGGGGUUUGUAAAUUUUGCAGAAUGGUUUAUGUGUAUUUCCCUCUUUACAAAAAACAAAACAUUUGAGAGUUCGAUUUCACAUUGUUGUUAAAUUGAUGUUAGCAUAGUCAAUUUAGGGUUCUACAUUCAACUAUUGUUUGAUAUUGGUACUUUCUCAUCCCGUUUUUUUUUCCCUUCUUUUUCUGUAUAAUUACCAUUGGAUUUCUAAUUAGGAAGUCUGCCUAGAAAAUGAUGUUGGGGUGUUGAGGUUUGUACUUAAUACUCUGUACAAACUACAAAAUAUUUUGGGUCAACAAAGACACAUCCUUCAUAGAUUUCAAUCAUUUUAUCCCAAAUGCCAUCUCUCUAGGUCGGAGAAGCUGUUUGUAAGAAUAUCAAACUAUUGAAGCUUUGAAAAGGUUUGCGACGUUACUCACUCUUCUCUUGGUCCUAAUGGUAUCCCAUUGUUUUUUUUACCUGAUUAUGAUGGAGUUGUUGUUUCUUUUUUGAAAUUUGAUAUUUUUGCUGUUUUAUUGACUUUUUUUUCGAUUAUUUUAAGUUUUGUAGAUGAAUAGAUUAACAGGGAAGAUGGAGAACUUGAAUUGGAACUGAAUUGAUAAGUAAAGUGACAUUUUCCGCUCUUUAGGACCUUUGAAAGAGCAGCAUCAAAUCGGCGGGGUGGCAGCGCUGAGGGAUAUUUUGAGAAUUAGGUAGAGUACGAAAAUGGUUUUGCAAAGAGCCAGAGACGCACCACAAGGGUUGGUCCUUGACUUUCAGAUAUUUGCAAAACAGGUAUGUGUAUUGGAAAGGAUUUUUUGUUUCAUUAAAUGGUUGUAUCAUGUGCUUUCGAAUGAGGAGCUUGCUUGUACUAUUUCUAAAUAUUUCGCUAUGCUCUUCCCUCUCUCACAAAAUUCAUCUUUUGAUGGAGUUCACAAUGCUCGACCAUGUUUUCUAAAAUUGUGCGAGUAAUUUUUUAUGGAUAAUUGGACAUUGAUUGUCCUAUUUGCUCCAAGGUUGCUUUGGAUUUCUAACAUAGACUAAUUCUCGACAAAGGAGGAGGUGCUGGGCCUGCUUCUAAUGGCGUCGAUGCGGCUGUUAGACUUGUUUUCUUUACUGUAAUCUACUCACUAGACUUGUUAUAUACAAGUAUUAACUAUAGUAAGCAGGCAAUGCUUUGCAAUUGUUUCAUUUUUUAACAUAAGUGAUAAGACAGUCGCAAUUAGUUUAGUUUUUAAAGUAUUAACAAUCAUUGUCAUUAGAUACUUUAAAGUGUAAUCAACUUACAAUUUUGCAAAGUACAAGUGUAAUAUUUUUUUUUCCUAAGGAAAAAAAUACUUUUCCUUUAAAAAUUAUU